rnacentral:rRNA from 1 species
GGAGGCACUCUGAUGCAGACCAUGCCGCGUGUGUGAAGAAGGCCUUUUGGUUUGUUAAAGCACUUUAAGCAGUGAAGAAGACUCUUCGGUUAAUACCCGGAGACGAUGACAUUAGCUGCAGAAUAAGCACCGGCUAACUCUGUGCCAGCAGCCGCGGUAAUACAGAGGGUGCAAGCGUUAAUCGGAAUUACUGGGCGUAAAGCGAGCGUAGGUGGCUUGAUAAGUCAUGAUGUGAAAUCCCCGGGCUUAACCUGGGAACUGCAUCUGAAACUGGUACGCUAGAGUCCUGAAGAGGGUGGUAGAAUUUCCAGUGUAGCGGUGAAAUGCGUAGAUAUUGGAAGGAAUACCGGUGGCGAAGGCGGCCACCUGAUCAGAGACUGACGCUAAGGUACGAAAGCGUGGGGAGCAAACAGGAUAGACACCCUGGUAGUCCACGCCGUAAACGAUGUCAACUAGUUGUUCGUGUCAUUAAGACGUGAGUAACGCAGCUCACGCACUAAGUUGACCGCCUGGUGAGUA